AUACCAUAGAUCUUAAAGCUGUAUGUACAUCAUUAAAUGAGGUGGUUUUCUUAUAUUUUUCCUGUUGUACUGACCCUUCACGGUUUGUAACUUUGAGUUAGUUGUUCUCUUUCCUUUGAAGGUAUAACCUAGUGGUUUCCAACCUGGCUAUGCAUCAGAACCACUUAGGAAGUUUUAAAACUAUAGAUGCUUGAGUUUCAUCCUCAUCUCCCAUCCGUAAAGAGUGGUUUAACCUUGGGUGAGGCUGCAGCGUCUCUUUUCAUGAUUUCCAGAUAAUAUCUUCUGAACACAUGGAACUUCAGAAGUUUUGUCUUGUUUUGUUCACAUGGUGGACAUUCACAAAUAUCACUGAAAAUAUGGAAGUAUAAUGGACAGGUGAGGCAACCCUUUGGGGCUAGGGAAGGCAUGGAAAAAUGAGGGAUGAGGUGCCAGAGCCCUCAGUGGUACCCCCAGGACAUUCACGAUGCAGACUCUCGUGGUAUUAACACACUGUACUGUCAUUACAGGAUUGUGUAUCUGUCUCCCUCAAUAGAUGAGCUGCCUGAGGACAGUGACUAACACUUCUAUAUGUUCUACACUUAAUAACUAUAAAUGCCAUGUGAAUGAAUGAAACCAUGUCCUCCUGAGGGCUCUGCAUUCUGAUAAUUAGCAAGCUGUUUUGUUACUGCAGAUUUUGCUAACAGUUCCAUAUUUAAAGUGCUUCUUAUCCUCCUGCUUAUAAAAUUUUUAUUAUUUGUGAAUAGUAUAUUAUAGGAACCAAAGAAGAAAAAUGACUUGGGAGAAAAGUAUGUUUCUGAGGCUUUCUUGACUUUUGAUUGUGGAAAAACUAUUUUCAACACAAGAUGGCAGUAGACCAUUAACUCUGAAAACCGGUCAAAGACUUAGUUUGACUCUAGUGAAGAUAAACAUGAAACUGAUAGUCAGGUUAGACAAGACUUGGCAAAGGCACGUUCUCUUUAUUAUUCCAUAGACCCACUGCUAAGACCUCUCACAGAGGUGAGUCUUUCUUACUAUAAAAGGCUUCCAUGGAGUGAGAUUUCUCUGGUUGCCUUGCCCCUCUGGCCUGUAACUCCCUUCAGUAGAAAUGGUGAGAUGGAGAUAAUAUAGGGCAAUUUCUUCUUUUUCCAAAUAAGACAACUAAAUACUAGAGAGAUGAAGUGAUUUGCCUACAGUGAUGCAGCUAGUAAGCAACAGUUGGUUGGUUCUAGGUCCCCUGACUUCCAAACUGGUGCUCCUCGUACUCUACCUGAACUCCUCCAUAGCACCUUGAAACUCAAGCCAGUUUCCUUUCCUCCAGUCAGGUAGUGCUGGAUAAUAGUCAUCUGUCUUUUACGUAAAUGACCCUUCACUUAAAAACUAUAGUGCUGCCUUCUGACCUUGUCUAAGUUAAGAGUCUUUAUUUCUUUGGCAUUUUCUGAACACAUGGAAGGUUUUUUUUGUUUUUUUGAAAGGUUAAUUAAAAAGUAGAAGUGUGUCAUUGAAUCACCGUAGAACCCUUCAGAAAUAACAGGAUUUCUUAGCAUGUAGAGGGAAAGAGAUUAAUACCCUAUUUGGAAUUACAGGACAAGUUCUCUUACCUGUCAUAACUGAAACCAAUAAUCAUCUGAAUUAUUAGAACUGUCUGAACCUAAUUUGAAAGCAGUUUUUAUUGCUCAGCUUUAUUCAUUAAAGCCAUUUUAUUUAAGUCAUAUUUCAUUGGUUUUUAUAAUACUUAUAUAAAUUAUGUAACUAUAAUCACAAAACAACUGCUAUAAACAGGUUGGGAAGAAACAAAAGUUUUGUUAAAAACAGGACCCAGCAGGUGGGAGAACUAGCCCGUGUGUGCAGCAGGCCCCGGGCAUGUCUAGCAAAAGCAGCGGAGAGCAUUGCUCAGUCCUGCAAGGCAGUUCAGACAGCUGGUACUGCAGACUGAUCAGUAAAAUGAUCAGUAAGCCAAUCUCUCAGUAACAUUGAUGUUUUUAUCGUACUACAAUAAAAUCAUACAUGAUAGUUGAGUUAAACAUCAUUCAUAAUUUAGUUACUGAUGACCUUAAAGAAGAAUCAGAUUUCUAAACAUUUCUUUAGAAAGGUACACACUUUUGUUCUAAAAAUAUGAUUAUAAGUAUUUGUGUUCAUGUGACAGGUGAAGAAAAUAGAUUUUGUUUUUAAUGAGCUCUAAUAAUGUAAGAACAUUUGAAUAUAGUUUGAACAUAAUUUGUUUUUUUAACAUUUUCAGAAGUUAUGCAUACAUAAAUUUGAGCUUCCAGGAAAGAAAUGAAGUUAGUGGAAUAAGUCUAACCAAGUUAGCUAUUUUUAUUUAAUAAAUAAAUAAAAGUAUCAAAAUUUCAUUCCUAACUUUUUGUGGGUCAAGGCAGUAAUUAAUAUGAAAAACCACUUGAGAAUUUCUAAACAUAACUAAUAAUGAAGCAGAGACUUUAAUACAUUGAAUUUUGUCCGUCUGACAGUGAUUUGUUCCAGCAUUUGAAUAUACUAAUACAUUCUACAUUUCAAGAGCUGUACUCUAGGAAAAAUGCUUCAAAAGAAAAUAGCUCAUAGGUACAGUGUUCCUAUUGGCAUUUGUUCCUGAUAAGAUGUUUGCAGUUACAAUAUUUUCCAGUAGCAAUCUGGAAAUGGUGACUUCACUCUCAUGGGAGUUUAAGUAAUUUUUAGGAUUAAAAAAAGAUAAUAUGCAUAUUUUGAUUCUUUGCAUUUUCAAGUUAAAUGUUUGAGGAGAAAAAGAAUGCACAUACAAAUAUAGGCUACAUGUAAUUCUGUAGUCUUAUUUUAACUAUCCACAUAAAUGGGUUCUUGAUUUUCUUUUCCUUUCUCUACCUACUCCUCCAGUUAGAUUAGACUUAGGAGAAGGGACAGGUGUAAGAGCCCAGCAGCAGAUGGGGAGCUGGGAGGGGUAGGGUAUUUAAGGAUGUCUAAGAAACUAAUUUAGAAGUAUCAAGCAGUAGUAGAUGGUUGUAUAUUUAUUUUUUUUAAUUUUGUUUCAUUAAUAGACUCUCUAUUUAUCUGAAAUGUACAAAUCUCCCUUUGCAUUUCACAGUGAGACUGAAAAUCCAUGUUUUAGGUUAUCUUUGAUUUUAACUUUGGUAUGAUUUAUGAAAUAUAGAUAUUCUGAAAAUACUUGCAUCUUAACAGUAUCUUAUG